rnacentral:rRNA from 1 species
GAUGAACGCUAGCUACAGGCUUAACACAUGCAAGUCGAGGGACCGGCGCACGGGUGAGUACCACGUAUCCAACCUGCCCUUUACUGGGGGAUAUCCUUUCGAAAGACAGAUUAAUACCCGAUAUAAAGUAUGGGGAUGCGUUACAUUAGUUUGUUGGGUAGGUAACGGCUCACCAAGCCUUCGCUGGAUAGGGGUUCGGAGAGGAAGGUCCCCCACAUUGGAAAUGAGACACGGUCCAAACUCCUACGGGAGGAAGAAGUGAGGAAUAUUGGUCAAGGGGCGCUAGCCUGAACCAGCCAAGUAGAGUGAAGGAUGAAGGCUUAUGGGUCGUAAACUUCUUUUAUAUAAGAAUAUGUAUUAUAUGAAUAAGGAUCGGCUAACUCCGUGCCAGCCGCCGCGGUAAUUC